AUUGAACGCUGGCGGUAUGCUUUACACAUGCAAGUCGAACGGCAGCGCGGGCUUCGGCCUGGCGGCGAGUGGCGAACGGGUGAGUAAUGCAUCGGAACGUGCCCAGUAGUGGGGGAUAGCCCGGCGAAAGCCGGAUUAAUACCGCAUACGACCUGAGGGUGAAAGCGGGGGACCGAAAGGCCUCGCGCUAUUGGAGCGGCCGAUGUCGGAUUAGCUAGUUGGUGGGGUAAAGGCUUACCAAGGCGACGAUCCGUAGCUGGUCUGAGAGGACGACCAGCCACACUGGGACUGAGACACGGCCCAGACUCCUACGGGAGGCAGCAGUGGGGAAUUUUGGACAAAGGGGGCAACCCUGAUCCAGCCAUGCCGCGUGCGGGAAGAAGGCCUUCGGGUUGUAAACCGCUUUUGUUCGGGAAGAAAUCCUCUGGGCUAAUACCCCGGGGGGAUGACGGUACCGGAAGAAUAAGCACCGGCUAACUACGUG
rnacentral:rRNA from 1 species